GAUGAACGUUAGCGGCAGGCCUAAUACAUGCAAGUCGAGGGGUAGAAGAGGCUUGCUUCUUUGAGACCGGCGCACGGGUGCGUAACGCGUAUGCAACCUACCUUCAUCUGGGGGAUAGCCCGGAGAAAUCCGGAUUAAUACCGCAUAAAAUCACAGGAUGGCAUUAUCCAAUGAUCAAACAUUUAUGGGAUGGAGAUGGGCAUGCGUGUCAUUAGCUAGUUGGCGGGGUAACGGCCCACCAAGGCGACGAUGACUAGGGGAUCUGAGAGGAUGGCCCCCCACACUGGUACUGAGACACGGACCAGACUCCUACGGGAGGCAGCGGUAAGGAAUAUUGGUCAAUGGAGGCAACUCUGAACCAGCCAUGCCGCGUGCAGGAAGACUGCCCUAUGGGUUGUAAACUGCUUUUAUUCGGGAAUAAACCUUAUUACGUGUAAUAAGCUGAAUGUACCGAAGGAAUAAGGAUCGGCUAACUCCGUGCCAGCCGCCGCGGUAAGAC
rnacentral:rRNA from 1 species